rnacentral:rRNA from 1 species
GAUGAACGCUGGCGGUCUGCUUAACACAUGCAAGUCGAACGGAAGUAGCAAUACUUUAGUGGCGGACGGGUGAGUAACACGUAAGAAUCUGCCUCCAGGACGGGAAAAACAGUUGGAAACGACUGCUAAUUCCAGAUGAGCCGAAAGGUAAAAAGAAAUUCGCCUGGAGAUGAGCUUGCGGCUGAUUAGCUAGUUGGUAGGGUAAGAGCCUACCAAGGCGACGAUCAGUAGCUGGUCUGAGAGGAUGAGCAGCCACACUGGGACUGAGACACGGCCCAGACUCCUACGGGAGGCAGCAGUGGGGAAUUUUCCGCAAUGGGCGAAAGCCUGACGGAGCAAGACCGCGUGGGGGAGGAAGGUUCUUGGAUUGUCAACCCCUUUUCUCAAGGAAGAAGAUCUGACGGUACUUGAGGAAUCAGCAUCGGCUAACUCCGUGCCAGCCGCCGCGGUAAUAC